UGGAUUGUCGUCGUUUUGGGUUGGCCAUAUUUUUUCGUUGUUGUUGUUUUGGUUUGUUCCAAUUGAAAAAUUUUCAUUUCAAUUCUUGACUCUGUUGAUUUCUGGUCAGAUUUUUUCUUUUUUUCUGGUUUUUGGUUUUUGGUUUUUGAAUAAUAAUAAAAUAUGUUUAAUCAACAUAAUAAAUGGACAAUUUGGUUUAAAUUGUUACACAUUUCAGUGAUUGUAAUCGCAUUCGGACUAUUAUGUUUACUUGUUGGAUAUUGGACAGCAUUCAUAAAAUAUGUCCGAAUCAUUGCAACAACACGUGGAUUUCAUCAUUUACCAUAUGAACUUUAUUUCAUCUGUUCCGGAGCUUUGUUUGCCAUUAUCGGUAGUUUUAUUUAUACCCGUGUAACAAGAACAAUUGAUCGAUUUAAUGAACGUUUAUCCAAUUAUAUCCUGUUUAAUAACCGGCUGCAACCGCAUCCGCAGCCACAACCGCAACCAAAUAGACAAAAUCAUCAACAUCGAAAACAUUAUUAUCCACAUGAACAACAACAGCAACAACAACAAAUUUCAUCAUCAAUAAAUAAUGGUAAUCGAGCCAUGGUAAUCCAUAUUACACAUGAUGUUGAUAAAUCAUAAAUGAGAUGCACAUAUAAACAUUUAUAUUGAAUAAAAAAAGUUUUUUUUUAUAACAAAAAAAUUUCUGUUUUUCACCAUGGUUAUUAUUUAUACUCCGUUGAUAGUUUAUCAAUGAAGCAAUUAAUAUUUGACAUAUUGGAUGCCAAGGUAACCAUUAUCAUCAUCGUCAUUCAAAAUAAUUGCAAUCCAUCAUCAAGAUCAAUCAGGAAUGUUAUGUAUUUUGUUUGUUUGUUUUGCAUGUUCCAUGACGACCAUGAUGAUGAUGAUUUGUUGUUGGCCAAAUUAUUUAUGUUGAAAGUGUGGUUGGAAAACUAAAAAAAUUUUUCGUUAUAUUUCUGAAAACCAAAAAAUAAUUCAUUGAUUUAAAAUGACCGAAGAAAUUUCCAAUGGUCAACAUCAUAAUGUUUAUCAAAAUGAUGAUGAUGAUGAUGAUAAUGUUGAUAAUGAAGAUGAUGAAAUGACUACAAAUGAAUGUAAAAAAGAUUCAUUCAAUGAUGAUGAUGGAACAAAAAAACGUUCUGAAUGGUUCAUGAAUGCUUAUAUUUCAGUUGCAACAACUAUCAUUGGAAUCAUUAUAAUUGUGGCUGGUGCAAUUGUAACCAUGCUAAAACGUAUUCGUUUCGUAAGUGGUUGGAAUAAAAGUGGUGUUUAUCUGGGCAAAGGAAUUGCCAAAUGGAGCGGUGAAAUCACAAUCAUCGUCGGCUUAAUUAUUGCAAUAAUUGGUUACAUUUGUUAUCGGCAAUGUUUGAAAAGAAUCGAUCUUUAUAUAAAAAAUUUACAAGAUGAAAAUGAUGACCAAAGAGUGAUGAGAAAACAUAAUGAUCAUGAUUAUGAUGAGAUUCCAGCAUCAAGAUCAUCAGAAGAGAAAAAACAAUUUUUAGAUUGACAAAUUCUUUUAGAAUAAGCCAAUAUUGUUUGUUGUCGAAAUCGAAUGAUCACCAUUUAUUAUCGGUUGGAUUGCGAAAAAAAAGUUGAAUUUUUCCAUGUUCAUUUCCAAUAAAUUUCCACACUUCAUAUUUUUAAAA